AUGGUGCGGCUGCCUGAGGGUAUCACUGGGGAGGAGCUCGACAUCAUCAAGCUGACUGCACAGUUCGUGGCUCGGGAUGGGAAGAACUUCCUGACGAGCCUGGCACACCGAGAGAGCACCAACUCGCAGUUUAACUUAAUCCGACCCACGCACAGCAUGUUUACUUUCUUCACCAUGUUUGCCGACGUGUACUCGAGGGUGCUGAGCCCGGAUGAGGGUGUGCCUGCACUGACAAAGGAGAUGCAGGAGGGGUCGAUAGACCUCACCACUGAGCAGGCGAAGCAACAGGCAGAGGAUGAACUUGAGCUGGAGAGGGUGCAGAUGUCGAUGAUUGAUUGGCAUGAUUUUGUUGUUGUUGCGACAAUUGAGUUCGCAGAUGAUGAAUAUGAGGGGCUACCUGUCCCGCCUACGCUAGAAGAAUUGAAGCGCCAGAAGAGGAUGGAGACCUUGGGAGAGGAGGAACCCAUGGAAUUGGCUGAACCAGCUAAGGAUGAAGGAAUGAAGGCAGCAAGGCUUGAGGAGAACGGAGGAGGAGCACAAGUUAGGGUGGCCGGUGAUCAGGAGCCGCCUAUGAGAAUUGUCAAGAACUAUAAGAGGCCCGAGGAGAGGAUCCCUACGGCGAGGGACCCGACCAAGUUUGUUGUUUCAACAAUAACCAGAGAGCUCAUUCCGAUUAGCGAGAUGGGGGAACACAUGCGCAUCUCGCUCAUUGACCCGAAGUACAAGGAACAGAAGGAAAGAAUGCUGGCCAAGAUUAAGGAGACCACGCUUGCUCCAGAUGAUGAGGUCGUCAAUAACAUUGUUGGUCUUGCACGGACAAGGCCAGACAUAUUUGGAACAACUGAGGAAGAGGUUUCUAAUGCCGUCAAGGCAGAAAUUGAAAAGAAAAAGGAUGAGCAGCCAAAGCAGGUUAUUUGGGAUGGUCAUUCUGGUAGCAUUGGUCAAACUGCCACUCAGGCAAUGUCUAUGGGUGGUGAAGAACAAGUUGAUGCCUCAAAUGUUCCAGGUCCAGCUCCACUUCCCCGGUUUGUCAUGCCGUUGCCCCAGCCUCCUCAACCACUUUCUUUGGUUAAUGUUCCCCGAUUUACACCAAAUCGAAUGCCUUAUCAUCUCCAAACCCCAGCUCAUCAUAAGCAAGGAGUUCCACAUAUGAUGUCCAACAUGCACCCACAGAUGAUUAGGAUGUCAGGUCCCAUGGGUCCUAUGCCAAAAAAUAUCCCCCCUCGUCCAGGCCAUAUUACUCAGUUCAUGCCUGGUCCACCAAGGUUCCCUAUGCCGCCACCCCCGCACAUGCAGACCACGCCAACCAUGGUCAACCCCAUUGGAAUCCCCCAGGCUCCACCACCUUUGCCUCCACAACCACCUGCCGAGGAGCAGCCACCUCUACCUGAGGAACCAGAACCUAAGAGGCAGAGAACAGAUGAUGCUUCUCUGAUCCCAGUUGAGCAGUUUCUUGUUCAGCAUCCGGGCCCUGCGCGCAUCUUGGUUUCUGUACCCAACCUCGAUGAAGGAAGCUUGCGAGGCCAAGUUUUGGAGAUCUCUGUCCAGUCACUCUCAGACACAGUCGGCAGUCUGAAGGAGCAGAUUGCGGGAGAGCUGCAGCUUCCUGCUAAUAAGCAGAAGUUGAGUGUGAGAACUAGUUUCCUCAAAGACAAUCUUUCUCUUGCUUAUUACAAUGUUGGCCCUGGGGUGGUGAUCAAUCUAACUCUGAGAGAGCGCGGUGGGAGAAAGAAAUGA
rnacentral:rRNA from 1 species